GGGGAAUAUUGGACAAUGGACCACAAGUCUGAUCCAGCAAUUCUGUGUGCACGAUGGCGUUUUUCGGAAUGUAAAGUGCUUUCAGUCGGGAAGAAGUCAGUGACGGUACCGACAGAAGAAGCGACGGCUAAAUACGUGCCAGCAGCCGCGGUAAUACGUAUGUCGCAAGCGUUAUCCGGAUUUAUUGGGCGUAAAGCGCGUCUAGGCGGCAAGGAAAGUCUGAUGUGAAAAUGCGGAGCUCAACUCCGUAUGGCGUUGGAAACUGCCUUACUAGAGUACUGGAGAGGUAGGCGGAACUACAAGUGUAGAGGUGAAAUUCGUAGAUAUUUGUAGGAAUGCCGAUGGGGAAGCCAGCCUACUGGACAGAUACUGACGCUAAAGCGCGAAAGCGUGGGUAGCAAACAGGAUUAGAUACCCUGGUAGUCCACGCUGUAAACGAUGAUUACUAGGUGUUGGGGGUCAAACCUCAGCGCCCAAGCUAACGCGAUAAGUAAUCCGCCUGGGGAGUACGUACGCAAGUAUG
rnacentral:rRNA from 1 species